rnacentral:rRNA from 1 species
ACGUAGGAGGCGAGCGUUAUCCGGAUUUAUUGGGCGUAAAGAGCUUGUAGGCGGUUUGUCGCGUCUGCUGUGAAAAUCCGGGGCUCAACCCCGGACUUGCAGUGGGUACGGGCAGACUAGAGUGUGGUAGGGGAGACUGGAAUUCCUGGUGUAGCGGUGAAAUGCGCAGAUAUCAGGAGGAACACCAAUGGCGAAGGCAGGUCUCUGGGCCACUACUGACGCUGAGAAGCGAAAGCAUGGGGAGCGAACAGGAUUAGAUACCCU